AGUAAAACCACUGUGCUGGUUCAUUUGUGCAGUAUGCUUCAAACUGACAGGUGGCGCUGCUGUAUGGUAGAAACCAACAUUGAUGGGUGGGGGACAAAGGAACAGGUAAAAUUGUUCACUCAAAAGAUGAUGAUGUUGACUGAGGAAUCCAGCUCCUUUUAUGAGCCCUUGGAAAUAGGCACAAAGUGGGGAAACCCUGAGAAGACCACUCUGAACCAAAGGAAGCUAACUGAAGAGGCUCCUAGCUGUCUGGCUGCUGAUCAAGUGUUAUUUCACGUGCCAACUCUGUGUAAGUGAAACUAGGUCUUGGGAAGGAAAAUCAGCGGUAGAACUCUGCUUAGCUUUAGGUUUACCAGAUGUAUUUACCGUUGGUGUAGUAUUCAAAGAAAUAUAGGUGUAGUAUUCAAAGAAAUAUUAAAUUUAACAUAAUAGUAGUACAUGUAUAGGUAUAGGGAGAAUUCCAUGCUGUUUUAGCUUUCAAAGUUGAUAUCAUAACUUCAUGCUAACUCUUGAACACAAUUUACAUGUAUUUAGAAAUAUGUGAAUGUAUAAAACAAGUAGAUGGCCCAAUAUCAAGCUUGACCAUCAUUUUCCCAACCCCCAUAUAAAAUAUAAUAAAGUUCCAUUCAAGACCUUUUUAGUUUAUGCUAUCCACAAACAAACAGGCACAUGGACAAACGGCACAGAAAACAUGAUAUUCGUGGGGAAGAUAUUAAUUGGAAAGGAAAAGAGUGAAUUUUGCUUAAACUGUCACUGUCUAUCUAUCAUAACUUAUAUCUAUAUGGCCAUUAAGUAUGAAAUACUGAUGUUAUGGUUUGACUAACUAAGCAUAGUCUCUGAGCUGUUUCACAAAAUGACACAAUAGUAAUACAUAAGGUUGAUAGAUAUGCAAUGGCUUGCAUGGUUUAAGUCACAGAAAUUUGCAACAGUGAAUAGUUAUGAAAAAGGAACAUUGUACAAGGUGGACUACUAGUUAUUGUUGUACCAUACAAAAAAUGUAGCUUCACAACUUUGAAAUGAAUUAUAGAAAAGCCAGAAAUAUGCUGAAACAACCUUUUAUUUCAGUAAAGUUCUGUGUAUAGACAUCA